rnacentral:rRNA from 1 species
ACGGAAGGCAGCAGUGAGGAAUAUUGGUCAAUGGGCGGAAGCCUGAACCAGCCAAGUCGCGUGAGGGAAGGCGGCCCUACGGGUUGUAAACCUCUUCUGCGCGGGGGUAAAGUCGGGGACGGGUCCCCGAUUGCAAGUACCGCGCGAAAAAGGAUCGGCUAACUCCGUGCCAGCAGCCGCGGUAAUACGGAGGAUCCGAGUGUUAUCCGGAUUUAUUGGGUUUAAAGGGUGCGCAGGCGGGAUGUCAAGUCAGUGGUGAAAUGGUGCGGCUCAACCGUAGCAUUGCCGUUGAAACUGGCGUCCUUGAGUGCGAAUGAGGUACGCGGAACGUGUCAUGUAGCGGUGAAAUGCAUAGAUAUGACACAGAACACCGAUUGCGAAGGCAGCUUUCCAAUGCGUAACUGACGCUCAUGCACGAAAGCGCGGGUAGCGAACAGGAUUAGAUACCCUGGUA